GUGCCAGCAGCCGCGGUAAUACAGAGAGUGCAAGCGUUAAUCGGAAUUACUGGGCGUAAAGCGCGCGUAGGUGGAUGCUUUAGUCGGAUGUGAAAGCCCCGGGCUUAACCUGGGAACUGCAUUCGAUACUGGGCGUCUAGAGUAUAGUAGAGGGAAGUGGAAUUUCAGGUGUAGCGGUGAAAUGCGUAGAUAUCUGAAGGAACAUCAGUGGCGAAAGCGGCUUCCUGGACUAAUACUGACACUGAGGUGCGAAAGCGUGGGGAGCAAACAGGAUUAGAGACCCUGGUAGUCCACGCCGUCAACGAUGAGCACUAGAUGUUGGGGGUUUGACCCUUAGUAUCAAAGCUAACGCGUUAAGUUCUCCACCUGGGGAGUACGGCCGCAAGGUUAAAACUUAAAUGAAUUGGCGGGG
rnacentral:rRNA from 1 species